UCCCGCUCGAGAUUGCCGCCGUCGCGGCUGCUGUCACCGAGGCCGGGUCAUCGGGCCGCGGGUACCUCAAAGCCGAGUGGACUGGAGACUCAAUUCCUUGCCUAUACUUCGCCUCCCCCGAGCUGCUGCAACUGAAUGCAGUCCCCGCAGGGCGCGAAGGAGAAACUGAUAGUCCGCAGUGGGGUGAACUUAAAGACCUGACUUUCAUUAGCGUGGUGUUGUAACAGACUGGCCUCUGAGGAAAUGGACUUUACGUUAUGAAUUCAUAUCUGGUUUCCAGUUCACAGGCUCCAAUAUUAGGACUCUCCAACUUUUUUUCUGAUUCAGUGAGUACUUGGCUUUCAGAUUAUUUUCUUCCUUAAUGUAUUAUGACAAUUUUCAUUUCCCAAACCUCAAUCACAUGUUAUUUCCUCUAUUUCCCCAA
rnacentral:lncRNA from 1 species